CCCGGGGUCAAUUCCGGGCAUGUCCGAAGGCUUCCAGGCGAAGCUUGAUUCAUGACCUCGAAUCAAGGACAUCACCUCGGCUUUCUGCUCCUUGGUGAGGCCGGCGUUGAGACUGAAGGCUUUGUCUGUUUCCAUUUCUGAUAAGGAGAAAGUCUCCAGAUCCCCCACCGGCUCUGUCCUGGCCUCUGUUUUCUCAUCUCGGACCUCCAGGACUUCUGAAUCCAUCCUUUCCUCUGUUAUGCUCGGCUCUGCCACCGUAGCCAGGUAUACUGCCCUUGCUUCUUCUUGGCUUCCCCAAACUAUCCCUACCCCUGCUUCUGUUGGGAACUUCAUCGCCAGAUAUCUGAUACUGGUGACAGCCUCAAAGUCAAAC
rnacentral:lncRNA from 1 species